UACGGAGGGAGCUAGCGUUGUUCGGAAUUACUGGGCGUAAAGCGCACGUAGGCGGCUUUGUAAGUUAGAGGUGAAAGCCCGGGGCUCAACCCCGGAAUUGCCUUUAAGACUGCAUCGCUUGAAUCCGGGAGAGGUGAGUGGAAUUCCGAGUGUAGAGGUGAAAUUCGUAGAUAUUGGGAAGAACACCGGUGGCGAAGGCGGCUCUCUGGGCCGAGACUGACGCUGAGGCGCGAAAGCGUGGGGAGCAAACAGG
rnacentral:rRNA from 1 species